UACGUAGGGUGCGAGCGUUGUCCGGAAUUACUGGGCGUAAAGGGCUCGUAGGCGGCCAACUAAGUCAGACGUGAAAUCCCUCGGCUUAACCGGGGAACUGCGUCUGAUACUGGAUGGCUUGAGUUUGGGAGAGGGAUGCGGAAUUCCAGGUGUAGCGGUGAAAUGCGUAGAUAUCUGGAGGAACACCGGUGGCGAAGGCGGCAUCCUGGACCAACACUGACGCUGAGGAGCGAAAGCCAGGGGAGCAAACAGG
rnacentral:rRNA from 1 species